GAAAGUUUUUCUAAUAAACUUUGACUGCAAGAAAAAAUGUUUUAAUGCAGAAUGCAUUUCAAGAUAUCCGUCAAUUUGCUGUAUCCAAAUUAAAAAUGGAACAGAAGCUAAAGAUUCUUGAUUUCAUGAAAAGAUUCGGGAAGGUUUCAUUGUGUUUUACGAUGGGUGGAUUCUUAGUCGUCGAUAAGAAAAUCCCUUUUAAGGUCGCAAAAACGUUGCAUUCUGUUUUUUCGGGACUUUUAAAAUUAAGAAACGUAUCGAAUGCGAAAAUACACUGCGACAGCAAUUUCAC